rnacentral:rRNA from 1 species
UACGUAGGCGGCUAUACAAGUUGGGGGUGAAAUCCCAGGGCUUAACCCUGGAACUGCCCUCAAAACUGUAUAGCUAGAAUCCUGGAGAGGUGAGUGGAAUUCCUAGUGUAGAGGUGAAAUUCGUAGAUAUUAGGAAGAACACCAGUGGCGAAGGCGGCUCACUGGACAGGUAUUGACGCUAAGGUACGAAAGCGUGGGGAGCGAACA